rnacentral:rRNA from 1 species
UACGGAGGGAGCUAGCGUUGUCCGGAAUCAUUGGGCGUAAAGCGCGUGUAGGCGGUCCGGUAAGUCCGCUGUGAAAGUCGAGGGCUCAACCCUCGAAUGCCGGUGGAUACUGUCGGGCUAGAGUACGGAAGAGGCGAGUGGAAUUCCUGGUGUAGCGGUGAAAUGCGCAGAUAUCAGGAGGAACACCGAUGGCGAAGGCAGAUCUCUGGGCCGUAACUGACGCUGAGGAGCGAAAGCGUGGGGAGCGAACAGG